AGAAUGCUCCAGAAACUUCACAUCUAUGACUGGUAUGAUCAAAUCACCAGGAUUCCCUGAAAAAUAUCCCAAUAGCCUUGAAUGUACUUACAUUAUCUUUGCACCAAAGAUGUCAGAGAUUAUCCUGGAAUUUGAAAGCUUUGAACUGGAGCCAGAUACAAACCCUCCAGGAGGUGCAUUCUGCCGUUAUGAUCGUUUGGAAGUCUGGGAAGGUUUCCCGGAAGUUGGCCCUCACAUUGGGCGGUACUGUGGACAAAAUACUCCCGGUCGUGUCCUCUCAUCAACUGGCAUUCUGUCUAUGGUUUUCUAUACCGACAGUGCAAUAGCAAAAGAAGGUUUCUCUGCAAACUAUACUGUGGUCCACAACAAUGUUCCAGAAGACUUCCAGUGCAGGGAACCACUUGGCAUGGAAUCUGGUGAAAUUCAUUCUGACCAGAUUACUGCCUCUUCCCAAUAUAACCCCCAGUGGUCAUCUGAAAGGUCCCGUUUAAAUUAUCCUGAAAAUGGAUGGACACCUGAAGUUGAUUCUACUAGAGAAUGGAUACAGGUAGACGUAGGCGUUCUCCGCUUUGUAUCUGCCAUUGGGACUCAAGGAGCCAUCUCCAAAGAAACUAAAAAAAUGUAUUUCCUGAAAACAUACCGAGUGGAUAUAAGUUCCAAUGGAGAAGAUUGGAUAUCCAUUAAAGAUGGAAACAAUAAACCUUUGCUAUUCAUGGGAAACAUCAACCCAACCGAGAUUGCUUAUAGAUCUUUUCCCAAGCCAGUUCUGACACGAUUUGUUAGAAUCAAGCCUGUAACCUGGGAAACUGGAAUAUCACUGAGAUUUGAAAUCUAUGGCUGUAAAAUUACUGAUUAUCCUUGUUCUGGCAUGCUGGGUAUGGUGUCUGGGCUCAUCACGGACUCUCAGAUUACAGCAUCAAAUGAAUUGGAUCGGAAUUGGCUUCCAGAAAAUGUCCGUCUUAUAACAAGUCGUAUAGGAUGGGCACUGCCACCCCCAGUUGGUCAUACAUAUACAAAAGAAUGGCUUCAAAUAGACCUUGGUGAAGAAAAGACAGUCCAGGGCAUAAUUGUCCAAGGAGGUAAACACAGAGAAAACAAGGUCUUCAUGAGAAAAUUUAAAAUUGAAUAUAGCUACAAUGGAUCAGACUGGAAAUGGAUUAUGGAUGCCAGCAAAAAGAAAGCCAAGAUUUUUGAAGGCAACACCAACUAUGAUACUCCUGAACUUCGCAUCUUUGACCCAUUGACAACCAGAUUUAUCCGUGUUUAUCCAGAAAGAGCCACACAUGCUGGAUUGGGACUAAGGUUGGAACUGCUCGGUUGUGAAGUUGAAGUUCCUACUUCAGUCCCAACCUCUGCUGAUACCAGUCCUAUGGAUGAGUGUGAUGAUGACCAAGCCAACUGCUACAGUGGAACAGGUGAUGACUUCCAUUUGACAGGGAGUACCACAGCUGCGAUUACGGAAAAACCAGUACCAACUGAUACUACAGUUCAGCCAGCCAUCCAUUAUUCCAUUACUGAAGAACUUCCAGCAUAUGGUUUCAACUGUGGAUUUGGCUACAGUUCUCAAAAGACAAUCUGUCGCUGGGAACAUGAUGCCCAGCUGGACUUGAGAUGGGCAGUACUCACCAGCAAAACAGGGCCCAUUCAGGACCACACAGGAGAUGGCAAUUUUAUUUAUUCCCAAGCUGAUGAAAACCAGAAAGGCAAAAUUGUUCGCCUCAUCAGCCCUAUCAUCAACCUGCAAAAUUAUGCCCUUUGCAUGACUUUCUGGUAUCAUAUGUUGGGCCCUCACGUCGGCACACUAAGAAUCAAACUGCGGUACCAGAUCCCUAAAGAAUACGAUCGGGUCUUAUGGACACUAAGUGGAAAUCAGGGAAACUGCUGGAAGGAAGGCCGGGUUUUUCUCCACAAAUCUGUGAAACAUUAUCAGGUAAUGGUGGAAGGAGAAAUUGGAAAGGGAAAUGUAAAGGGAAAUGGAGGAAUUGCAGUUGAUGAUAUCAACUUUGACAGCCACAUAACACAGGAAGAAUGCCGAAAAUCAAAUGGUGCAGGGAAUGAAAUAGUUGAAGUAGAGCCAGAUAUUAAUCAAACAGGAUGUACUCCUGUUUACCGUGAAAAUGGGGAACCUUAUAAUGACAACAUCUCUCGAAAGCCAGGCAAUGUUCUGAAAACACUUGACCCUAUUCUUAUCACCAUCAUCGCUAUGAGUGCCCUGGGUGUGCUGCUGGGCGCCAUCUGUGGGGUCAUUCUGUACUGCGCCUGUUGGCACAAUGGGAUGUCCGAUAGAAACUUAUCUGCACUGGAGAACUACAAUUUCGAACUUGUAGAUGGUGUCAAAUUAAAAAAGGAUAAACUGAACACACAGAAUACGUAUUCAGAAGCAUGAGGCUGAAAACUGCGUUGAAGACGCUGAGCCAAGCUUUUCUCAGGAGCUUCAGUGGGUGUACCAGAUAUUCUAAGACAUGGACAACAAUCUGUGUUAAACAAUCUGAAUCAUUAAGCCAUGAAGUAAGUCUUUUAAUUCUGUCCAAGAUGUUCAUAUAAAUCGAUGGCAAUGACAAUUUGUUGUUGAUGUUGAAGAGCAAAGAAUGUUUUUCCCAUCCAUAUCCUAGCUAUCCAAUUUAAGGGUAAUUGUUUCUGCACAGGACUCUUUCAUGCUAAUGUAGAGGCAUACUAAUAUUGCUACAAGUAGUAAUGCAUUGACUUUGCUAAUAAUGGAUUUGCUUUAAAAAAAAUCAUUGUAUAACAUAUCCUAAACUGGAUUUAAAAUGAGUACUGUUAACAUUCUAAUGAGAAGUAAUUGGGGGCCCUUGUGCUCUUUCUAUUCGCUUAGCAACAGUAGCCAUGUUUUAAGAAUUAAGUCAAUCUCCAAAAGACACAGUUAACUCUUAAAGAUCUUAAAUCAUAACAAGCAUUCAGGGCACCAUAAACUGAUUCUGUCACAUUGUUUUACGUGGUAUUCAAAUGCACCUUUGAUUAAAAACAGCUGGUGUUCACCACACCAGAGCAAACGCUUAACAACUCUGCUCUCAUUGUAAAUAUGAGUUAUCAUCCAAAGAAGGUUUAUUGAAGUAAAAUAUCUACCAUGAUAAAAAAAAUCAGUGACAAAAGAGUAUAUGAAUCAAUUGUUUAGUUAUCCAAUUUACACUGUAAUUGAAUGCUCUACUAGUUAAUUAUCCCAAAGAGAAGAUCAGAUGCAAAUAAUUUUUACUGCACUUCUUUCAUGUAUAUUUAGUUGCAUCAUGUAUUAUGGAUUCUAUGUCAAUAAUCACAUAGGCAUCUUAAGAUCUGUGACAAAAGUGCAUACAAACAUUUAAGAGGGGCAGAUUUAAUUGCAAAAGCAUGUACUUUCUCAAAAAGUAACAGAUGCAAUAUUAAUCUUGGUAUGGAAAAAAAGGGAUUUUUAACAGUUUGUGCACAUAUGAACUGCCUAUAAAUCAGACUUCAGGUAAUCUUCAACUUACAGCCACAAUUGAGCCAAAAUUUUCUGUUGUUACAUGAGACAUUUGUUAAGUGAG